ACUCAACUCUCUCAAACUCUCACAAGCUCUCAACUCUCUCAAACUCUCACCUAUGAACUCUCACCUCUCUAUCUCAUUGUCGCCGGCCUCAAUGUCAUUGGCCCAACCGCUGACCCAUUCCGUCGAAGUCCCAACCCGACCCAAGCCCCAAGCUGUUGAUCCACGCCUCCGAUCCACGCCGUCGAUCCAUGCCUUCGACCCACGCCAACCCGACUCCGCCUCUGACCCAUCUCGACCUCUUCGCCUCUCUUCUCUUUUGUCUAACCCACCAAGUCCAAAUCUUGCUUGCUAACCCACGCCAACCCGACUCGCCUUCUCUGAUGCUCUAACCCAUCUCGGCCUUUAUGCCUCUCUUCUCUUCUGUCUGACCCACCAAUCUUGAGAUUGCUUGCUGAUCAGCAGAGAACAAAGCUAGAAUUUAAAGCUAUGAUGUUGAAGAUGGCAGUGGCAGAAUUUAAAGCUUACUUUGCCCAAGAGAAGAGUUUCUGAAGAAAGGGAGCUGCGUGAUGUACUCUAAAGAGAGAAAGAAUUUAAAGCUAGCUUUGCCCACAAUUUAAAGCUUGCUUCCAGUUGUUUUCUAAUGAGAAGUAAGGAGAGUUUUUGCUAAAGAGAAGCAAGAGAAAGAGAGAGAGCAAGCAAGGAAGAAAGUGAAACAGAGGAAAGAGAGAAAACAUUUUUUUGUUCAAUAGCUGAUUAUUAUAAUAGCUAAAAAUGUUUGAAGUGUGAAUAUGAAAUGCUACAGUGUUCUCUACUUGUAGAAAAGCACUGUAGCAAUUCUAAAAAAAAAAUGGAGAUGGAGAAGUUGUUCUCUACUUGUAGAGAAGCACUGUAAUAAUUCUAAAAAAAAAUGAAGAUGGAGAAGCUAUUGGAGUGGAUUUUGGGGUGUUUUCUCUAAAAUUGGCUUUAAAAAAGCCAUUGGAGAUGCUCUUAAAGGAAUUGGCUUAGUUUUUCCUAUCUUUGAGUAAGAAUGCUCUUUCCUUAUGGUU